UCCUACGGGACGCAGCAGUGAGGAAUAUUGGUCAAUGGACGGAAGUCUGAACCAGCCAUGCCGCGUGCAGGAAGACGGCUCUAUGAGUUGUAAACUGCUUUUGUACAAGGGUAAACCUGAAUACGUGUAUUCAGCUGAAAGUACUGUACGAAUAAGGAUCGGCUAACUCCGUGCCAGCAGCCGCGGUAAUACGGAGGAUCCAAGCGUUAUCCGGAUUUAUUGGGUUUAAAGGGUGCGUAGGCGGACAGUCAAGUCAGCGGUAAAAAUGCGGUGCUCAACGCCGUACAGCCGUUGAAACUGGCAGU
rnacentral:rRNA from 1 species